GACAGAGGGGGCAAGCGUUGCUCGGAAUUACUGGGCGUAAAGGGCGCGUAGGCGGGAUGGCAAGUCGGUCGUGAAAUCCUUCGGCUCAACCGAAGAACGUCGAUCGAUACUGCUGUUCUUGAGGGUUGCAGAGGAGACUGGAAUUCCCGGUGUAGCGGUGAAAUGUGUAGAGAUCGGGAGGAACACCGGUGGCGAAGGCGGGUCUCUGGACAGUUCCUGACGCUGAGGCACGAAGGCCAGGGGAGCAAACGGG
rnacentral:rRNA from 1 species